rnacentral:rRNA from 1 species
UUGAACGCUGGCGGCAUGCCUUACACAUGCAAGUCGAACGGCAGCACGGGAGCAAUCCUGGUGGCGAGUGGCGAACGGGUGAGUAAUAUAUCGGAACGUGCCCAGUCGUGGGGGAUAACGUAGCGAAAGCUACGCUAAUACCGCAUACGAUCUACGGAUGGAAANCGGGGGAUCGCAAGACCUCGCGCGAUUGGAGCGGCCGAUAUCAGAUUAGGUAGUUGGUGAGGUAAAGGCUCACCAAGCCGACGAUCUGUAGCUGGUCUGAGAGGACGACCAGCCACACUGGGACUGAGACACGGCCCAGACUCCUACGGGAGGCAGCAGUGGGGAAUUUUGGACAAUGGGCGCAAGCCUGAUCCAGCAAUGCCGCGUGCAGGAUGAAGGCCUUCGGGUUGUAAACUGCUUUUGUACGGAACGAAACGGUGAGCUCUAAUACAGUUUGCUAAUGACGGUACCGUAAGAAUAAGCACCGGCUAACUACGUG